AACGUCAACGCGUUGGCGCCGAAAAGGAAUUGUCAUUGUUAGAAAAUUGAUCAAAACUGCGACACGUUUUUUCUUGACCUGGCAGUUAGUUAGUUUUUAGUGAAUAGUUUUUAGAGAAAGCCGUAUGUAUUGAUUACUAUAGUUGUUCCGCUCAUCCUUUAAAGUAUUUUUUAUAGUAGGUGGAAGCUAUUUGGAAAGUUGCGCGUGAUUUGAGUGCUCGCGGGUUUGUGAGUCGGAAGAGGUUGGGUUAUAGAAAUUCCUUACUGCGCAAUUUGCCACUAAAAUAUUGUAUUUCCUUUAAUAGUUUGAGUGACCGUUCGGUUGUUCCGGUUAGGUGUACCGGGUUGAGCUCAAUUAGAGCGGUAGGAAAGAAAAAGCCUUCAAAUAGCCGGUGAUAUCCGACGGUUUAGGGUUGCCAGAGCUAGAGCUUAGGGUAAACGGCGAAACUUAUUUUCGAGUUCGUUCGCAUACAACGUACUACGGAACAGUUUUAUUUCCCACACCAGUAGUAUCCGACUCCUCACGCUGCGCGUUCGAACUUUAAAGAAAUAUUGUCCUUCACGCUGUCGCGUGUCGGACGGGACUAAGGGAUCACGCCUAGCUUUCACGCAGACCUAGGAAGCCCCGGCAGACCUAAACCAAUGUAAUAUGGCCGCCGCUUCCGACGGCGGGUCGGCGGCCACCUCGGAUUUAAGAGCUUCUGCGGCUUUGUGCCGCCUCAGCCCCUUCAUCCUCGUUGGUUGCGGCUUUGCCGCAAAAAAAUAAGGUUAUGAAACCUCAUUUUUAGUAACAAUUCCUUUUUUUUUUAAAUAAUUUCUAGUAAAGAUAAAUGUUUUCAAU